GGGUCAGUAGGUUGGUCGUGCCACCGGUACGUACUGGUCUCACUGAUUCCUCCUUCCUGAAGAACCGUAAUGCCAUUAAUUUGGUGUUGCGGGGAAACAGGACUGUUACUUUGAAAAAAUUAGAGUGUUUAAAGCAGGCUAACGCUUGAAUACAUUAGCAUGGAACAAUGAAAUAGGACGAUCGAUCCUAUUUUGUUGGUUUCAAGGAUUGACGUA
rnacentral:rRNA from 1 species